UACAGAGGUCUCAAGCGUUGUUCGGAUUCAUUGGGCGUAAAGGGUGCGUAGGCGGCGCGGUAAGUCGGAUGUGAAAUCUCGGAGCUUAACUUCGAAACUGCAUUCGAUACUGCCGUGCUUGAGGACUGGAGAGGAGACUGGAAUUUACGGUGUAGCGGUGAAAUGCGUAGAUAUCGUAAGGAAGACCAGUGGCGAAGGCGGGUCUCUGGACAGUUCCUGACGCUGAGGCACGAAGGUCAGGGGAGCGAACAGG
rnacentral:rRNA from 1 species